rnacentral:ncRNA from 2 species
AUGAAUUGCUAGGGGUCUGAUUUAUUUGCUUUUAAGUUUUAUCAUUUAAAGCAAAAUCAGUGAGAAUCACCCUUUGAACCUGAUGCGGGUAAUGCCGCCGUAGGAAAGCUCAGUAACGCUUCC